GAAAUUCACAAAAUUUCAAAGAAUCAAGUGACAAAAGGUGGUGAAUCCUCCGAUAAGGCCAAAGAAAUUGUACCCGAGGAUCGAUAGUCGAAGUACUCUAAAAAUUCGACUUCCGAAAUACUUGCUGCAGUGGGCGGGUUCUGUGGACCAACCUAUUAGA
rnacentral:sRNA from 1 species